AGAGUUUGAUCCUGGCUCAGGACGAACGCUGGCGGCGUGCUUAAUGCAUGCAAGUCGCACGAGGCCCCAUCGACGGGUAACCGUCGCGGGGUACUAGUGGCGAACGGGUGAGUAACACGUGAGGAACCUGCCCCGGAGUCCGGGAUAGCCCAGGGAAACCUGGAUUAAUACCGGAUGCCCUCGAUCGGUCGCAUGUCUGGUCGAGGAAAGGUCCGCCGUUCCGGGAUGGCCUCGCGGCCUAUCAGCUUGUUGGUGAGGUAACGGCUCACCAAGGCAACGACGGGUAGCUGGUCUGAGAGGACAAUCAGCCACACUGGGACUGAGACACGGCCCAGACUCCUACGGGAGGCAGCAGCAGGGAAUAUUGCACAAUGGGCGAAAGCCUGAUGCAGCGACGCCGCGUGAGGGAUGAAGGCCUCCGGGUCGUAAACCUCUUUCAGGAGGGAAGAAGCGCAAGUGACGGUACCUCCAGAAGAAGCCCCGGCCAACUACGUGCCAGCAGCCGCGGUAAUACGUAGGGGGCGAGCGUUGUCCGGAUUUAUUGGGCGUAAAGAGCUCGUAGGCGGCUCGGUAAGUCGGCCGUGAAAUCCCGGAGCUCAACUCCGGGAGGUCGGUCGAUACUGCCGUGGCUAGGGUCCGGUAGAGGAGAGUGGAAUUCCCGGUGUAGCGGUGAAAUGCGCAGAUAUCGGGAGGAACACCCGUAGCGAAGGCGGCUCUCUGGGCCGGUACCGACGCUGAGGAGCGAAAGCUAGGGGAGCAAACAGGAUUAGAUACCCUGGUAGUCCUAGCUGUAAACGUUGGGCACUAGGUGUGGCGGAUUGAUUGACGUCUGCCGUGCCGUAGCAAACGCAUUAAGUGCCCCGCCUGGGGAGUACGGUCGCAAGGCUAAAACUCAAAGGAAUUGACGG
rnacentral:rRNA from 1 species